GUUUCUUAAGUCUGAUGUGAAACCCCCCCGCCCCCCUGUGGGGGGUCAUUGGAAACUGGGAGACUUGAAUGCAAACCAUGAAAGUGGAAUUCCAUGUGUAGCGGUGAAAUGCGUAGAGAUAUGGAGGAACCCCCGUGGCCAAGGCCACUUUCUGCCCUGUAACUGACACUGAAGCGCGAAAGCGUGGGGAGCAAACAGGAUUAUAUACCCUGGUCCUCCCCCCCGUAAACGAUGAGUGCUAAGUGUUAUAGGGUUUCCCCCCUUUAGUGCU
rnacentral:rRNA from 1 species